GCGGAAGUGGCGGAACUGGCAUACGCGCAUGUUUGAGGGGCAUGUGCCGCAAGGCUUGAGGGUUCGAAUCCCUCCUUCCGCACCA
rnacentral:tRNA from 1 species